CCUACGGGCGGCAGCAGUGGGGAAUAUUGCACAAUGGGGGAAACCCUGAUGCAGCGACGCCGCGUGAGUGAAGAAGUAAUUCGUUAUGUAAAGCUCUAUCAGCAGGGAAGAAAAUGACGGUACCUGAGUAAGAAGCCCCGGCUAACUACGUGCCAGCAGCCGCGGUAAUACGUAGGGGGCAAGCGUUAUCCGGAUUUACUGGGUGUAAAGGGAGCGUAGACGGCAGUGCAAGUCUGGUGUGAAAGGGGGGGGCUCAACCCCAGGACUGCUUUGGAAACUGUACGGCUGGAGUGCAGGAGAGGUAAGUGGAAUUCCUAGUGUAGCGGUGAAAUGCGUAGAUAUUAGGAGGAACACCAGUGGCGAAGGCGGCUUACUGGACUGUAACUGACGUUGAGGCUCGAAAGCGUGGGGAGCAAACAGGAUUAGAUACCCGAGUAGUC
rnacentral:rRNA from 1 species